rnacentral:antisense_RNA from 1 species
UCGGGGGCUUUGCGGGCGGCGGUCCCGGCC